rnacentral:rRNA from 1 species
UACGUAGGGUGCAAGCGUUAAUCGGAAUUACUGGGCGUAAAGCGUGCGCAGGCGGUUGUGCAAGACAGAUGUGAAAUCCCCGGGCUUAACCUGGGAAUGGCAUUUGGGACUGCAAGGCUUGAGUGCGGCAGAGGAGACUGGAAUUCCUGGUGUAGCAGUGAAAUGCGUAGAUAUCAGGAGGAACACCGAUGGCGAAGGCAGGUCUCUGGGCUGACACUGACGCUCAUGCACGAAAGCGUGGGGAGCAAACAGG